GGAGCCGUGGCCGAGCGGUAAGGCAGCGGAUUGCUAAUCCGUAGCACUCGAACGGGUGUCGUCAGGUUCGAAUCCUGCCGGCUCCG
rnacentral:tRNA from 1 species